rnacentral:rRNA from 1 species
CCUACGGGUGGCAGCAGUAGGGAAUCUUUCACAAUGGGCGAAAGCCUGAUGGCGCAACGCCGCGUGCAGGAUGAAGGCCUUCGGGUUGUAAACUGCUUUUAUAAGCGAGAAAUAUGAUGGUAACUUAUGAAUAAGGAUCGGCUAACUACGUGCCAGCAGCCGCGGUCAUACGUAGGAUCCGAGCAUUAUCCGGAGUGACUGGGUGUAAAGAGUUGCGUAGGUGGCAUAGUUAGUAGCUAGUGAAAUCUGGUGGCUCAACCAUUCAGACUAUUAGCUAAACUGUUAAGCUCGAGACCGUUAGGGGUAACGGGAAUUUCUAGUGUAGGAGUGAAAUCCGUAGAUAUUAGAAGGAACACCAAUAGCGUAGGCAGGUUGCUGGGACGGUUCUGACACUAAGGCACGAAAGCGUAGGGAGCAAACGGGAUUAGAUACCCGUGUAGUC